AGGUGACCCUGAGGUCACACAGGUGACCCUGGGGGUGACCCUGGUGACCCUGGGGGUGACACAGGUGACCCUGAGGUGACACAGGUGACACAGGUGACUCUGAGGU